UUUUUUUUUUUUUUUUUUGACAGAGUCUCGCUUUGUCACCCAGGCUGGAGUGCAGUGGGGUGAUCUCGGCUCACUGCAGCCUCCACCUCCCAGGUUCAAGCGAUUCUCGUGCCUCUGCAUCCUGAAUAGCUGGGAUUACAGGUGUGCACCACCACAUCCUGCUGAUUUUUGUAUUUUGAGAGAUGGGGUUUUGGCACGUUGGCCAAGCUGGUCUCGAACUCCUGGCUUCAAGCAGUCCACCCACCUUGGCCUCCCAAAGUGCUGGAAUUACAGGCGUGCACCACCACGCCCGGCCAGAUCUUCAUAUAUCUAAAGAAAAUUUAUGUUUAACUUUGUGAUUGGCGAGCUAUUUGCUAUCCAAGGAAUUAACCAUGGAGUUGCAUGUCAUAGUAGCAAUUGUGGGUUUGUUUGCAGGAUCCUGUCAAGAAGACAUGGUAAACCUCAUCAUGAUCAAGAAUGAGACUUUGCUUGCAUCCAGGCUUCCCAAAAGUUGUUUGAUAGUAUACAGGCAUGAGAUGGUGUGACUCUAACUCAUUAGAUGCCUUCGUCUUUUCAGUCAUCAUGUGAUGGAAAGAAAGCUAUCAACUUCAUUCCUGAGACUUCCUGCAACACAGAUCCAUCUAAACUUUUACUUCAUUGGAGGGUCCUUCCUGACCCAUGCAACUCAACAAAAAACUCUCACAGUUUUUAUAUGCUUUGUUGGGGAUUAACCCAUCUUGCAUUGCAUUGCUAGCUUAGUAUGUCUAGCAUGGGCAUGCCUGCUGAAGUUUGGAACUUCCCAUCAAGGAAACAGGAAAAUGCCAUUGGCAAUGAGCUGAAGACUGAUUUACUCUACCAGUUUGGAACAUCUGUUAUUGCUGCUACUACGGUUUCUAUCACUGUUUGAUGCUGGGACUCUUAAGCUCCAACCACGUUUUCACCGAGCUGAGUCGCCUUCUUAUCACCCCUUUCUGGAGCAGCAGGACAUCUGGGGAUGAGAAGAUGGAGAGAUCAUCCUUAUAUAAUGUUGCAGUCUGGAAGCAUCACUCUCAAAAAGCCAUUGUAGAGAAUCCAAGCCGAGUUUAAGAGUGCUGUGGAAAUACACUGCUGCUACUGCUGUUUCUAUUACUGUUUGAUGCUGGGACUCUUAUGCUCCAACCACGUUUUCACCCAGCUGAGUCGCCUUCGUAUCACGCCUUUCCAGUUUUGAUAGACUAGAAAAAUGACAAGACUCCAAGUCCUUGAAGAGGAGGAAAAGUGUGAAGAAAACAAAAAAGGGAGAUUUAUGUCUGCUUCACCAUUUUGCCCAAGACUUGACCUGUCAUACACUGAAGGAAGCUCUUGUUUGACCUUCUGAAAAAAAUCUUGAAGUAUCUAUGAGAACAGCUAUUAUAUGAAGCAGAGAUUAUAAUAGAUAUGGAGUUUAAGUUGCAGAAAAAGAAGACUGAAUUAUUAAAUGGGACAUCAGAAAAUAAAA
ensembl:lncRNA LINC01203 long intergenic non-protein coding RNA 1203